rnacentral:misc_RNA from 1 species
GCAAACUUGGUCAUUUAGAGGAAGUAAAAGUCGUAACAAGGUUUCCGUAGGUGAACCUGCGGAAGGAUCAUUAUUGAAUAAAAUAUAAUCAUGUUGUUGCUAGCUUUUUAAGAGCAUAUGUGCACACUUGAUUGUUUAUUCUUUACUUUCCUGUGCAUUUUGUGUAGAUUUUUGAAAAACUACUUAUCGGAUAUUAUAUUCGGUUUAGAGAUCUGCUGUGUAAAAAUCAGCUUUUCUUGUAUUCAAAAUCUACAAGUUUUUACACACACCUUUCCAUUAUAUAUGGCAGACUUUGAAGGUCUAUUUUAAUUAAUAGUCUCUUUAAAAUGAAAUACAACUUUCAACAACGGAUCUCUUGGCUCUCGCAUCGAUGAAGAACGCAGC